UGGGGGAUGGUCUAAUGGUAAGGCAGCGGACUCUGACUCCGCCUAUCGGGGUUCGAAUCCCUGUCCCCCAGCCA
rnacentral:tRNA from 1 species